CAGUCGCCGCGGGAAUACGAAGGGGGCUAGCGUUGUUCGGAAUUACUGGGCGUAAAGGGCGCGUAGGCGGCCAUUCAAGUUAGAUGUGAAAGCCCUGGGCUCAACCUAGGAAUUGCAUUUGAUACUGUUUGGCUUGAGUUCGGGAGAGGUGAGUGGAAUUCCCAGUGUAGAGGUGAAAUUCGUAGAUAUUGGGAAGAACACCAGUGGCGAAGGCGGCUCACUGGACCGACACUGACGCUGAGGCGCGAAAGCGUGGGGAGCAAACAGGAUUAGAUACCCCAGUAGUCCCUGUCUCUUAUAC
rnacentral:rRNA from 1 species